AAUGCCAAUGACUGAGAACACAUUCCAGACAAGCAAAGCAGGAUAGGAAGGCAAGGCUGGUGAGGGGUGUGGCUUAUGGAAAGAGGGUGUGGCUGGGCAGUGGGUGUGGCCUAGGAAAAAUCUCAAGGGUCAGAGGGGCCUGGAAUGCCAUAUUUGAGCCUCAGGCCUCAAAGAGAUGAUCUAAAAUGGUCUGAUUGCAACUGUUAUUACAGUGGUACCAUAACCAAGGUGCACUUUCCCAUAGAAAGUAAUGUAAAAUGGAUUGAUCAGUUCCAGACUUUUAAAAACAACCCCAAAAACAGCAAUUUAGCAUGAAUUUUACUAUUUAACGAGACCACUGAUCCAUAAAAUGAGAGCAAUAAACAAUGUACUGCAGUCACACAAUCAAUCAAUCAAUCAAUCAGUAGCUGACAGUCACAAAAACACAAAAAAGAGCCACAAAAACAAAAAAUAAUUAGCAAAAACAGACAAACCUCAGUGUAACACUCAAAAUGGAAGUUUGGCACUCAAAUCGUCAGCAUAACACUCAAAAUGACAGCAUAACACUCAAAAUGGAGCACAUUUGGCUUCUGGAAAAAGUUCGCAAACCAGAACACUUACUUCUGGGUUUGCAGUGUUUGGGUUCCAAGUUGUUUGAGUACCAAGGCGUGUGAGAACCAAGGUACUCAAAAGAGAGUCACGUUGUACUUAUAUUUAGCUUCCGCUAAUGAAAUGCACAGGAAGGUAUCUCCUGGCAGAAUAAGUCACCCAGUACGUCUGCCUUAAUCACAGGUGUAAAAUCUUCAUAAUGAGCUAAAAGCAGUUGUGAUUACUUCUUGGAUCUCUUGCCAGCAUUAAUCUUUCCCGCUUGUUCUGUAUUUGGAAGUGGUGUGAGGAGGCUCAAGUGGAUACAAAUUAGGUUUGUUUUCAUAUCUGAGAACUCUCCUAAAUAUGUGAUCUUUGCAGGCUCCCCUGGUGCUGCUGAUUUAAGUACCUGCAGGUAAAAUUAUAAAUACAUCCACAGUAAUGAACCACAGGUUUGCCAUUCCAAAUUCAAAAGCAAGUGGGAUUUUGCUAUAGUUCUUGAGAUAACAGGAGGAAAAUGUCAAAAGUAUCUGGUUGGUUUCUCCUCUAUUCUGUUUUGAAUUUAUUUUUGUGUAUGAAUGGGUUAAGCCAGUCAGCUUUGUCUUUUCAUUGACCAGCAAUUGGUUCACUGGCUGAACUGUUGACAAGACUGAGAAAAUGGGUGCAUAUAGCAAUAGCUGUUGGAGCAGAGAACCGCACUGGGUUCCAGUCAGAACUUAGUAAAUGGAGACUAUAUUGUAAUUUAUGCAGUAUAAAGAGGAUAGGUUAGAAAUGGCAGUGCCAGCUAGAUAGAGGCACAUUGAUCAUUGUAAGCUAAUAUUUUCUUUUCAUAGUGGUAUAAGAAAGAAUGCUUUCACGACGGCAGUUCCAAAGGCUUGCUCAGAAGCUUUGUUGUAAAAACAGUCUUGGCAGAUGGAAGUACAGUGGUACCUCAGCUUAAGUACUUAAUUCGUUCCGGAGGUCCAUACAUAACCUGAAACUGUUCUUAACCUGGAGCACCACUUUAGCUAAUGGGGCCUCCUGCUGCUGCCGCACCGCCGGAGCACGAUUUCUGUUCUCAUCCUGAAGCAAAGUUCUUAACCUGAAGCACUAUUUCUGGGUUAGCGGAGUCUGUAACCUGAAGCAUAUGUAACCUGAAGCGUAUGUAACCCGAGGUACCACUGUAGCAAUGUUGUAGCUUCUCCUUUACCUACAGCUGUAGUGGCAAAUUUAGAAGCCCAGGCACAGUCACACACCCUCAUGGCCAUCCCCCCUUCUAAAAUUAUGCAAUCUUCUAUGAUUAGACAAUAAUCAUCAUUAGGGAUGCAUUGCAUUGAUUAACAUAGAUCAGCUAGAUAUAUUAUAUUCUGUGCACAUGAUGCGUGUGAAUCUGUUUCUGGAAUGACUUAAUUUUGUUUUCUUUUUCUUUCAAGUGCCAUGGUACGUAACAGAACUCUGGAAGCUGAAAUGUUCCUAAAUGCUUUGGUGUACAGAGGGCAACUCCUCCUUGGAGUUCCUUCUGUACCUUCUCCGGAAUGACCCUAGGAGCCAAUCAUCAGUGGCUGCCUCACCUCCUUUUCCUUUGAUUGGCUGCAGUCAGCACAAAGGGUGAGAAUACAUCUUCUCAGGGGCUGAAAGGUCUUUGACCUGCUAUGGCCCCAGACUACUAUACAUCUGAUCUUAAGCCCAGUACUGUAAAUCACAUCCACUCACUGAAUACUAGUAGCAAUGGUGACUCUAUGAAACUAGAAUGAUUUAAUCGGGAAGCCUCUCCUAGUAUCAUUCUUCUGUAUGUA
rnacentral:lncRNA from 1 species